rnacentral:rRNA from 1 species
GACGAACGCUGGCGGCGUGCUUAACACAUGCAAGUCGAACGGAAAGGCCCUGCUUUUGUGGGGUGCUCGAGUGGCGAACGGGUGAGUAACACGUGAGUAACCUGCCCUUGACUUUGGGAUAACUUCAGGAAACUGGGGCUAAUACCGGAUAGGAGCUCCUGCUGCAGGGUGGGGGUUGGAAAGUUUCGGCGGUUGGGGAUGGACUCGCGGCUUAUCAGCUUGUUGGUGGGGUAGUGGCUUACCAAGGCUUUGACGGGUAGCCGGCCUGAGAGGGUGACCGGCCACAUUGGGACUGAGAUACGGACCAGACUCCUACGGGAGGCAGCAGUGGGGAAUAUUGCACAGUGGGCGGAAGCCUGAUGCAGCAACGCCGCGUGCGGGAUGACGGCCUUCGGGUUGUAAACCGCUUUCGCCUGUGACGAAGCGUGAGUGACGGUAAUGGGUAAAGAAGCACCGGCUAACUACGUG